rnacentral:rRNA from 1 species
UACGUAGGUCCCGAGCGUUGUCCGGAUUUAUUGGGCGUAAAGCGAGCGCAGGUGGUUUAUUAAGUCUGGUGUAAAAGGCAGUGGCUCAACCAUUGUAUGCAUUGGAAACUGGUAGACUUGAGUGCAAGAGAGGAGAGUGGAAUUCCAUGUGUAGCGGUGAAAUGCGUAGAUAUAUGGAGGAACACCGGUGGCGAAAGCGGCUCUCUGGCCUGUAACUGACGCUGAGGCUCGAAAGCGUGGGGAGCAAACAGG